AGCCCGUCUUGCUGGCCCACAGGUUUAGGCAAGCUUCACGCUAUGCUACUGGAGUGUCUGUGGCAGACAGCUUUCCUGAGAGGUACCUUCCUGUGCAGCAUUGGCUGCAGGAAACCCCAGCAACUAUGUUGCAACCUCAUGACCCUGCCAUGAAGCCAGCACUGUCAGAUGCAGGGGGCUGAGGAACACCAGGUCCCAGCAAAGCAUGGUGUGCCAGUGCCUGAGGCAGUCAGAGGAGAGCAUCAGAUUCAUCCGCCCCCGGCCCCGAGUCGGAGUUACAGACGAUUGUGAGCUGCCUGACAUAGCUGCCGGGAAGCCAACUUGGGUCCUCUGUAAGACCAGCCCAUACCCUUAAACUCUCAACCAUUUCUCCAGCCCCCAUCACUGACAUUUUAAUCAUCCUCAAAUCUGCCUCAAAGAAUGUGUAACAAGACAGCUCUUGUUUCCCUGGGAACUUUCAUUCAGAGACCAUAAGCAGAAUUCACUCUCUAUGACCCUGAGAAGACAAGAAGGGACCUGGCAUCCUGAGCCACACAGGCCAGUGGGCACCGUGGGCAGCUGUCUUACACAGUUGUCACUUCCCCCUUGCUAAGUCUCAGUGGGACACCAACUAUGCCCAUCCUACUAGGUUAUAGGGUGUAAUUAUCAUGUCCUAGUUCUAUAUUAAAUCUGAUGCAAUA